GGAGAGAUGACCGAGUGGUUGAAGGUACCGGUCUUGAAAACCGGCGUAGGCAUCCCCUACCGUGGGUUCGAAUCCCACUCUCUCCGCCA
rnacentral:tRNA from 1 species